CAGUAGCCGCGGUAAUACGUAGGGUGCGAGCGUUAAUCGGAAUUACUGGGCGUAAAGCGUGCGCAGGCGGUUGUGUAAGACAGGUGUGAAAUCCCCGGGCUUAACCUGGGAACUGCGCUUGUGACUGCACAGCUAGAGUAUGGCAGAGGGGGGUGGAAUUCCACGUGUAGCAGUGAAAUGCGUAGAGAUGUGGAGGAACACCGAUGGCGAAGGCAGCCCCCUGGGCCAAUACUGACGCUCAUGCACGAAAGCGUGGGGAGCAAACAGGAUUAGAUACCCCGGUAGUCCCUGUCUCUUAUAC
rnacentral:rRNA from 1 species